GCCUGAGUGGCUCAGUUGGUUAAGCAUCCGACUUUGGCUCAGGUCACGAUCUCAUGGUUCGUGGGUUUGAGCCCCGCAUCGGGCU
rnacentral:tRNA from 1 species